rnacentral:rRNA from 1 species
AUUGAACGCUGGCGGCAGGCCUAACACAUGCAAGUCGAACGCGUGGGGCACGGGGGAGUAUUGUCUGGGACACUGCCCGAUGGAGGGGGAUAACUACUGGAAACGAUAGCUAAUCCCGCAUACCCACAGAUGUCCCCAGAGGGGAUGAGCUAGUAGGUGGGGUAACGGCGCCCCUAGGCGACGAUCCAUAGCUGGUGUGCGAGGAUGACCAGCCACACUGGAACUGAGACACGGUCCAGACUCCGACGGGAGGCAGCAGUGGGGAAUAUUGCACAAUGGGCGCAAGCCUGAUGCAGCCAUGCCGCGUGUAUGAAGAAGGCCUUCGGGUUGUAAAGUACUUUCAGCGGGGAGGCGUUACCCGCAGAAGAAGCACCGGCUAACUCCGUGCCAGCAGCCGCGGUAAUAC